rnacentral:rRNA from 1 species
ACGAACGCUGGCGGCGUGCUUAACCCCUGCAAGUCGAACGGAAAGGCCCUGCUUUUGUGGGGUGCUCGCGUGGCGAACGGGUGAGUAACACGUGAGUAACCUGCCCUUGACUUUGGGAUAACUUCAGGAAACUGGGGCUAAUACCGGAUAGGAGCUCCUGCUGCAUGGUGGGGGUUGGAAAGUUUCGGCGGUUGGGGAUGGACUCGCGGCUUAUCAGCUUGUUGGUGGGGUAGUGGCUUACCAAGGCUUUGACGGGUAGCCGGCCUGAGAGGGUGACCGGCACAAUGGGAAUGAGGUACCGCCCAGACUUCUACGGGGGGCAAGAGGUGGGAAUAAUUGAAAAAGGGCGGAAGGCCUAAGCCACAACGCCGGGGGCGGGAAGAAGGCCUUUCGGGUGGUAACCCCUUUUGCCUUGUACGAAGGGGGGGGUAACGGUAUUGGUAAAGAAGCACCGGCUAACUACGUG